rnacentral:rRNA from 1 species
GCGGAGUGUAAACCCCUUUCGACCCGGACGAAACGCCCGCAAGGGCUUGACGGUACGGGUAUAAGAAGCCCCGGCUAACUACGUGCCAGCAGCCGCGGUAAUACGUAGGGGGCCAGCGUUGCUCGGAAUUACUGGGCGUAAAGGGUUCGUAGGCGGUGCGGUAAGUUGGGAGUGAAAUCUCUGGGCUCAACCCAGAGGCUGCUUUCAAAACUGCCGUGCUCGAGUGCGGGAGAGGCGAGUGGAAUUGCAGGUGUAGCGGUGAAAUGCGUAGAUAUCUUGAGGAACACCGAUGGCGAAGGCAGGUCUCUGGGCAUUAACUGACGCUGAGGAGCGAAAGCAUGGGGAGCGAACAGGAUUAGAUACCCUGGUAGUCCAUGCCGUAAACGUUGGGCACUAGGUGUGGGGGACAUUCCACGUUUUCCGCGCCGUAGCUAACGCAUUAAGUGCCCCGCCUGGGGAGUACGGCCGCAAGGCUAAAACUCAAAGGAAUUGACGGGGGCCCGCACAAGCGGCGGAGCAUGCGGAUUAAUUCGAUGCAACGCGAAGAACCUUACCAAGGCUUGACAUGGACCGGACCGGGCUGGAAACAGUCCUUCCCCUUUGGGGCCGGUUCACAGGUGGUGCAUGGUUGUCGUCAGCUCGUGUCGUGAGAUGUUGGGUUAAGUCCCGCAACGAGCGCAACCCUCGUUCCAUGUUGCCAGCGCGUAAUGGCGGGGACUCAUGGGAGACUGCCGGGGUCAACUCGGAGGAAGGUGGGGACGACGUCAAAUCAUCAUGCCCCUUAUGUCUUGGGCUUCACGCAUGCUACAAUGGCCGGUACAAAGGGUUGCGAUACUGUGAGGUGGAGCUAAUCCCAAAAAGCCGGUCUCAGUUCGGAUUGGGGUCUGCAACUCGACCCCAUGAAGUCGGAGUCGCUAGUAAUCGCAGAUCAGCAACGCUGCGGUGAAUCCGUUCCCGGGCCUAGUACAC